rnacentral:rRNA from 1 species
GACGAACGCUGGCGGCGUGCCUAAUACAUGCAAGUAGAACGCUGAAGGAGGAGCUUGCUUCUCUGGAUGAGUUGCGAACGGGUGAGUAACGCGUAGGUAACCUGCCUGGUAGCGGGGGAUAACUAUUGGAAACGAUAGCUAAUACCGCAUAAGAGUAGAUGUUGCAUGACAUUUGCGUAAAAGGUGCAAUUGCAUCACUACCAGAUGGACCUGCGUUGUAUUAGCUGGUUGGUGGGGUAACGGCUCACCAAGGCGACGAUACGUAGCCGACGGGAGCGGUGGAUCGCCGACACUGGAGCGGAGACGCGGCCCAGACGCCUGCGGGAGGGACCAGUGGGGAAUCUUAGGCAAUGGUCGGAAAUCUGACCCAACAAGCGCAAGUGAGAGAAGGAGGUUUUGGGUUGGGAAAGCUCUGUUUUGGGUGAAAAACGAGUUUCGGUGGGGAAGAUUCGCACGGGACGGUACCUUUACCAGAAGCGCCGGCUAACUACGUG